rnacentral:rRNA from 1 species
GACGUAGGGCGCGAGCGUUGUCCGGAUUUAUUGGGCGUAAAGAGCUCGUAGGCGGCUUGUCGCGUCGUCCGUGAAAACUCACAGCUCAACUGUGAGCUUGCGGUCGAUACGGGCAGGCUAGAGUUCGGUAGGGGAGACUGGAAUUCCUGGUGUAGCGGUGGAAUGCGCAGAUAUCAGGAAGAACACCCGUGGCGAAGGCGGCUCUCUGGGACGGUACUGACGCUGAGACGCGAAAGCGUGGGGAGCGAACAGG